GAUGAACGCUAGCUACAGGCUUAACACAUGCAAGUCGAGGGACCGGCGCACGGGUGAGUAACACGUAUCCAACCUGCCCUUUACUCGGGGACAGCCUUUCGAAAGAACGAUUAAUACCCGAUAUAAAGGAUGGGGAUGCGUUCCAUUAGGUUGUUGGUGAGGGAACGGCUAACCAAGCCUUCGAUGGAUAGGGGUUCUGGUAGGAAGGUCCCCCACAUUGGAACUAAGACACAGUCCAAACUCCUAGGGGAGGCAGCAGUAAGGAAUAUUAGGCAAUGGGCGCUAGCCUGAACCAGCCAAGUGGCGUGAGGAAUGAAGGCUUUUGGGACGUAAACUUCUUGGAUAGAAGAAUAUGUAUUAGAUGAAUAAGGAUCGGCUAACUCCGUGCCAGCAGCCGCGGUAAUAC
rnacentral:rRNA from 1 species